rnacentral:rRNA from 1 species
GACGAACGCUGGCGGCGUGCUUAACACAUGCAAGUCGAACGGAAAGGCCCUGCUUUUGUGGGGUGCUCGAGUGGCGAACGGGUGAGUAACACGUGAGUAACCUGCCCUUGACUUUGGGAUAACUUCAGGGAACUGGGGCUAAUACCGGAUAGGAGCUCCUGCUGCAUGGUGGGGGUUGGAAAGUUUCGGCGGUUGGGGAUGGACUCGCGGCUUAUCAGCUUGUUGGGGGGGUAGUGGCUUACCAAGGCUUUGGCGGGUAGCCGGCCUGAGAGGGUGACCGGCCACAUUGGGACUGAGAUACGGCCCAGACUCCUACGGGAGGCAGCAGUGGGGAAUAUUGCACAAUGGGCGGAAGCCUGAUGCAGCAACGCCGCGUGCGGGAUGACGGCCUUCGGGUUGUAAACCGCUUUCGCCUGUGACGAAGCGUGAGUGACGGUAAUGGGUAAAGAAGCACCGGCUAACUACGUG